CCUACGUGGAGCUGCAGUGGGGAAUAUUGGACAAUGGGCGAAAGCCUGAUCCAGCCAUGCCGCGUGUGUGAAGAAGGCCUUCGGGUUGUAAAGCACUUUCAGUGGGGAAGAAAGCCUUGGGGCUAAUACCCUCGAGGAAGGACAUCACCCACAGAAGAAGCACCGGCUAACUCCGUGCCAGCAGCCGCGGUAAUACGGAGGGUGCGAGCGUUAAUCGGAAUUACUGGGCGUAAAGCGCGCGUAGGCGGUCUGAUAAGCCGGUUGUGAAAGCCCCGGGCUCAACCUGGGAACGGCAUCCGGAACUGUCAGGCUAGAGUGCAGGAGAGGAAGGUAGAAUUCCCGGUGUAGCGGUGAAAUGCGUAGAGAUCGGGAGGAAUACCAGUGGCGAAGGCGGCCUUCUGGACUGACACUGACGCUGAGGUGCGAAAGCGUGGGUAGCAAACAGGACUAGAUACCCUGGUAGUC
rnacentral:rRNA from 1 species